rnacentral:misc_RNA from 1 species
GAGAUAGUGUACCUGCCUAUCUUCAGAAGAACUUGUUUAACAAUAUCUUAAAGGAUGAAGAGUUUUGGACAGAUCCUAGCAAGUCCAUAUCAAAAGCAUAUGAGAAGACUGACCAGGCUAUUCUCUCGCAUAGUCAUGACUUGGGAAGGGGUGGAUCAACGGCUGUCACUGCAAUUCUGAUAAAUGGCCAGAAGUUAUGGAUUGCAAAUGUUGGAGAUUCUCGAGCGGUUCUUUCUAGAAGAGGGAAAGCAAUACAGAUGACAACUGAUCAUGAGCCAAACACUGAGCGGGGUAGCAUAGAGAGGAAAGGCGGCUUUGUCUCGAACAUGCCAGGAGAUGUUGCAAGAGUGAACGGUCAGCUGGCAGUUUCUCGUGCUUUUGGAGACA